GACCUAAUGGUGAAAUCGGCAUCGCAUCCACUGCGUUUGUACAACCAUUACUUGAUGAUUAUGUGGAAGGCCCUCGUUCGAACCGAGGUUAGGUCG